CAAUAGCGUAUAUUAAAGUUGUUGCAGUUAGAACGCUCGUAGUCGGAUUUCGGGGCGGGCCGACCGGUCUGCCGAUGGGUACGCACUGGUCGGCGCGUCCUUCCUUCCGGAGACCGUGCCUACUCGUAACUGAGCGGGGGCGGGAGACGGAUCGUUUACUUUGAAAAAAUCAGAGUGUUUCAAGCAGGCAGCUCGCUCUUGCAUGGAUUAGCAUGGGAUAAUGAAAUAGGACUUUGGUGCUAUUUUGUUGGUUUCGAACACCGAAGUAAUGAUUAACAGGGACAGUCAGGGGCACUCGUAUUCCGCCGAGAGAGGUGAAAUUCUCAGACCAGCGGAAGACGAACUACUGCGAAAGCAUUUGCCAGGGAUGUUUUCACUGA
rnacentral:rRNA from 1 species